AUAGCCUUACUAUCCUGAAAUGAAAUGCAAAAAAAAGUUAUUUAAGUGCAUGUGUGUGCGGAAUUGAUUAAGUAAAUCUUUUCAGGUGUAGCAGCAGACCAGUAUCGCCAUCACUUGGGCAGUUGGACUUCGGAUAAGAAGUCCGAAGUAAUUGGUUACUUUUACAAGUCAAGUUUUUGAAAUGAAACUUUUGGACAGCGUUUACAGAGUGUUGUUAAAUGUUUACAGGACAUUGAGGCUGGAAAGAGCAAAUACUACGCAGUGAAUUACCCACGAAGCCAUUAAACUGAUCAUGUCCAAAGUAGUGGAGAUGUACCAGCUGAGCGCAGUGGUCCUUCAGUGUGGAGCCGAUUGAACCUCACCGUUAAAGGCCAAGAGAAGAGGUUUAACCAAGUUGUUCCACUCCUGAUGAUGGGACCUUUGUUGAAUACUGUGAGCACAUGUGGUUGACAGAAGAAGAUGUUGUAUGUAAUCUGUCCAACUUUACCAUUGUAAUUUGACUAGUAUUGUUUUGAACGGUGUAUCAUGGACUUAAAUGCAUGUUUUGGAAAUGUGAAGUGUUUUGCUAAUAAAAGAGUAAAAAGUUGUUGCUGUUCUGUUCAUUGUGAAGGUAUUCUGGUUGUUUUUUAAAAAAACAAAUUAAAAACAAAAAAAAACUAAGCUUUUUC